UUGUUAUCUUGUUGCCGUUUAUUAUUGAGUCUUUGGCUAGGCUAUCUACGUAUUCAUUACAAUAAAUACCUGAGUGUCCCGGGAUCCAUUGGAAUGUUACAUUUUUACCACUUUUAAUAACUUCAUAGAUAAUACUUACUGGUAUGCCUUCUCCUUUAUAGCUGUUAUAGACUUUAUCGAGUGCUUGUAUAGCUGCUUGUGAAUCGGAGUGAUGUGAGGUGGGACUUAUCCUGAACACUAAGUCUAUCAUCCUGAACUGGUUUGGUAGGCGGAUUGGUUUUAUCUACAAUAGGCCUACUUAUUUCUUUAGGUUUAUAUAAACUACUAUUUCUGAUGGGCCUACGAUAGCUAGUUCUACUAACCUUAAACUGUGAAGAAAACGGUUGCUGGCUGGAUGAACUUGGUUCUGAGACUGCAAGCAGUGGUGUAUACCUAUUACUUACAUUUAAUUGACUGAUAGGUGUUGAUGCCUGUGAGCUUGGUAGUGUUGGGUAGAUUUCAUCAUCAGUGAAGUCUAAUUGGGCGACCUGUGAAUAAGAUAGGCCUAGUAAUCGAGAUGGUUUACCUUGUUUUUUUAUAAGUAAUAGGAAAAUACUGUGCUGCCACAUGAUAACCUUCUUUCAUGAGACUCAUCCGAUCUUUAAUAUUUUUUUGCCUUAUAUACUCUGGGCAAUAUUUAGAGUUACUGCUAUGUGAAUCACCGCAGUGAACACACUUGCGGGGAGCCUGACAAGGAUCUGUGUGGAAGGGUCCAGCACAGUCCCUACAUAUUCUAGGUUUAUUACAAGGUGAGUUCGCUACGUGUCCAUAGGCAAAACAACGAUAACAUUGUUUCACUCUGAUCAUGUAGGGGUCUACCUUCAUACGAACAUAAUUAAGGUACACAAAAUCUGGUAAUUUUUCAGCCUCGAAGGUUAUUUUAACAAAAUGAGUGUUAGUGAGUUGGUCAUUACCAUUCACUCUACGUCUGAUCCUUUCAGCCUGAAUGAUUGGGUAUAUUGACGAUGCCUCAGAUAAAAUUUCUAAUUCACUUACCUCGGGCUCUGCAUAGACUACACCGAGAGUGUGUACUCUAAUUGAGGGUACAAAUACAUUAAAUUCUAACAGAUGUGGUGAAUUUACUAAAUUAUUGGCUGCUAUAUAGUUUUUACAAAUAACAGAUAUAUUCUUACCAGCUCGUGUAAUGUGGUCAAUGUCCAUAUGAUGUUUUUUAAGUAUUUUUCCUACUGUAAAUGGGUUUAUUUUGUUCUUUUUUUUAUCCUGUAUGAUUACCUCAAAAGGUCCUGAAUUUUCAGGUUUAUAGAGACGUUGUAUGUGAGGCUUUUUAAGUGGUGGAUUAAAAUCAUUGGUAGAUUGAAUUUGUUCUGAACAA